CUCUCACAGCCUGAUCAUCCAUCUGCCCCUCAGAACAUCUGGCAGGUUCCUGAUACAUGUCAAGAAAGAUCUGGUGUUAGUUUUGAUUCCUUUUGCUAGUUGUUCCUUGAAGCUUUUCUUGACCUGACUGUCUUUCUACAUGUGAGGUGCUGAAGUUUGCAUACUUCUCUGCUCUUCCCGUAGUAGCCAACUUCAGCUUUUUUUGAUAGAUGCUUUUUUCUGACUUCCUUUACUCCACUGAGCAAUGCUUUCUGUUCCCCACAUGAAAGGUGCUCAUCCCAUUUUUCAUGAGCACGCCUGGUUUAGCAAGGAUGGCAAAGGGUGACAGGAAGUGAAUUCAGGUGAUGCGAAUGAAAAAUAUAAGGGGUGGCAUUUUCGGACAGACAGAAAAAAAACAGUUGUGGUUGGUGUUGGUAUAGGCCAUCAGUGCAAGGCAACAGGUCAAAACUACAAAGGCUGCCGAAGCAGAAUGGGAAGAAGAGAAGGCUGUUUCCAGAAGGCUGGAGAUCAAGAGGUAGAGGGCAGGAACAGUGAAGACAUCAAGUGAGAAAACAGGAUUAUGACCCUGAUCCCUGGAUGUCACAUUGAGAGGGGGUGUGAGAAGCAAGAGGGAUCAGCAACAUUGCCCCAACAGAGAAGGAGACAUCACCAUCACCAGAGCAAAGCCAGGCAGCAAAAGCAACACGAAACCGCCAAGGCAGGAGUGACUGAGGGGUGCACCUGGAGAAUUACCUGAGGCAGUAUCAAAACCGGAGGACUCCCUUUUGUGCCACCAGAACAGUUCUCUGCACCCACUCUGUUCCUACAAGGUAAAAAAUGAAUAAUGCAUUGAAAAGCAGCCUCCUUGGGAAGCAAAAGAGUGGGAAUGCAUACAUGGACAUACUCGUGCUGCUGUAGUAUCACUGCUUGUCUGGGACAGACGCCACUGCUGCCUGGCAAGUUACAUCAGCAGCAAGGGAAAAAGCGUUCAACAGCCCAUUGGAUUGGCUUGCAAAUCCCUGCUGGCUUUUUAAUAAUGAUCCUCUUCAGGGAGCACCACCUCUGCCUUAAGGAAGUCCGUGAAUCCUGGGUAAAAAACUCCCUGCUGAAAAGCAACAGCAGCACAAAGCGUAUCCUCAUAUCUGCCCAUCUAUCAGCUACUAGGUGGUGCCUCUUUGGCCACAUACUUCAGUUAAACUUAUAGCACCUCCACACUGCUAUUCCUUGACUGUCUACUGUCUGGAUUGCUAGUUUUAAUGCAGAAAAAUAUAAUCAGAUGUACAGCUGAUUAGUUGUAGCUAAUCCAGAAAUAAUCAUUGGUUUCU